rnacentral:lncRNA from 1 species
CUGGGUCUGGGCUUAGGGAAGAGAAGCAAAGCCAGCCUUGUGACCUGCCUUAGUUUUAGCCUAUCUGGCAAACCUAGCUCAGGUAAAUAGCCCCUCAAUAACCUUGCAGGCAGCAAUAAUUUAUCUGGGGCAAGACUCAAGUAUUCCUGGGUUCUUAGCUAACAUAGCAUCUUAUUACCAUGCGAUUAUUACCUCUUCAUUACCAGUCACCUUCCUCUGGAAAGCAUAAUUCUGUGAGAAAAUAUCCCUGCAUAAUAGUGACCCCCUACACACACAUACACACAUACACACACACACACACACACACACAUACUCUGAGGCUACCUGAGAUGCUGCAAUGAAUACUCAGCCCCUAGACACAGGAGGACAGGAGUGUCUGUGAGCAACAGACAAAAGAUUUAUGUGAAAUGGAUUUCUAAGAAGCCAUAGAAAGGGAAGACAUCUGUCUGUCUAGCAGUUAUUAAAAGGCGGGGAAA